CACACACACACACACACACACACACAGAGUUAACAGUAAAAUACAUUCACAUAGGCACAGGAAGCUGGAUGAUGGGCCAUGGUAUACUGCACAUCUAUUUUUAUAAUGCCGUAAGAGUCUAUACUUACUUCAAAAUAAAGGCUUUAAAAAAACAAACCCAAGAGAGUAAGAUUAUCACUAUGUAUCUAUACCUUAAAAUUUAUCACUGCUGACCUAGUAUUUCCAAAUGAGAACUAUAUUAUUAUUGAUAAUUUUUUAUUUCAUUCUUGAGUUCACAGAAAACACAGCUCAGGUUUCUAACAGAUGCUUUCCCGAAGAGCUCUCCUGCCUUAUGAGAAAGUUUCUAACAGCCUCACAGCAAAACUCACUUCCCUCAAAAUAUCAAGAUGCUUAUGAUUUUGUGUUUCUAAUGUGCAUUUUCCCCUAUGGCACUGGGUUCAUAAUUGAGGACAAGAUAUUUUGAGUCCUCUCCUCUGUCUGCGUGUGUGCAUUCCUCUUCGCCUGCUGUUUCUCUCUGUGUAUUCACAGUGUGGACCAUGUGCACUGACACCACCCUGUGUGGCAGAGGUAUUAUGACCCAGCCGUGCACUUUUGUUUUUGCUCAGAGGCAGUUUGUAAUUGACUUUGCUUUGUCCUGCCUGUUUUUAGAGUUGAAAUCCUGAGCAGAGCCACAGAGAUCGACUGGGUUGUGAUGAUAGCCUUUGUAUCCAUUCUUGGAGGUGAAAGUCAGAUGUUGGUCUCCCCGCCCGCUCCUGUGUUGCUCAGUUAUGCGAAGCUUACAUUCAUUUCUCAGUGUUUUCACGUCUCUUAAACUAAUUUUAAAGAAAUCCAUGGAUACGUGAAGUCACAGAUCAGUGGGCCAACCCUGAAAGGGUUAACUGAAGUGUCAUUGUCACCAGAUCUGAGUGCUGCUCUUCUUGAUGAAAAGGCCAGGAAGACUUUUGCUGUCUGUCUUUAAGUGUGUGUAAAAUAGUUUAGUGUAGAAGUCGCUGUUGGGUGUUGUAAUCUCUGGGAGCCCAGGAGGCUAAAAAAAUAUUUUUCCAGAAAAACAGUCCUGAAUUACUGAAAAGAAUUAACAUUCUUGAACACGUAGUAAAAGGGCAGCUGGAGCUGAUGGCUUGUGAACAGUGAGGGCGUGUUGUGGCGGGGUCGCUCUAACAGAAUAAGCUGGCUUCUUUCAAAGGGGGCAAAGGCUAGUUGUUUUGUGCCCUCGUUAUUCUUAACUUGAAGUUGGAAGGUAAAAACAUUAGUUUAUGCAAGAGUAGAUUCUAAGAGGGUAUUUGGCACAAUAUAUUGUCCUAAUAAGUUUGGGAAACACUGGAUCAUGCAAAGCUGACUUGCUGUAGGCUUUUCAGAACCUUUGAUGUGUAAAUGUGUGGUUUUGGUUUCCAGCUUCAGAGAUGUUUCAUUAGCAAAGAGGACAGUGAACCAGGCUGUGUGCAGGCGUGGGCUCAUCUCCCUCCACUAAGCACCUCCGGUUAAUAUGCCACUUCCCUAACUUAUUUUACUGAGGAUUUUUUCAAAGUAGGUGUUUGAUGGGAUUUGUGUUCUGACAAGUUUACUUAGGAGAACAUUGAGUAUUUUGUUUUCUGUGCUCAUUACAAAGUUUCUGCUUUUGAGUAUUUUUCUCUGGUGACAGGAAUGGUAACUAAGUAAGCUUUAUUUCACCAGAGUAUAAACUAGCUCGCCAAUGAGGCUAUGGGAUUCUGUCAGCCUUUGUAACAUAUAUACACAGUGGCAGGCUGGGCGUUCCAGGGUUUGGAUGUCCAUUUGAAGCACAACUUGCCGCGGGGUUCUGAGUGCUAGUGUCAUGGCGAGCAUCCAGCCACAUGGAAAGCUCUCGGGUCUUACUUAGUUCUGAUGCUUCGGUUUUCCUCUUGAAGAUUAGAGCAAUCAAUGCCUGUAAUCAUGUAGUUUACAUAUCCCAGAUCCUUGCCAGGCACAGGAAAGGACCUGCCAGAGUUUGUAUCAGCCCUUGGAGUCACUGAGAUGGGGAAGGCCACUCUGGCUGCUUGUUCUGUGGUCCAUGGGCUGCUGGCGUCCUGAUCUGAUGGAGGAGGGUGUACACGGGCCUGUAAGUGCAUAAAGAUGACUCGGGUUUCUCUUAUAUCUUACUGUUUGUAAAAGAGAAACUGUCUUGCAGUGAGACUGAAGUUUUUUAGUUUCCUGGAAGAUCAACAGAGGAAAGGACAAAAGCUGCAUAUGAUGCAAGUGGACCCCGCCUCCCCAAGGAGUCUCAGGAUGGGAUACAAUUUAAACAUCUGUUCCUGUAUGCAAAUACUAUAUCAGCAAUGCCGACCAUCGCCUCGUAGUCUAGCCUUGCCUACUGUGAAUGUAUUUUUCCUAGAGCUGCUGUAGAAAUACCCAGAAGCGGAAUUGGUGGUCAUUGUUAAGAAUUUAUUCUAAUAAAUGAGAAACUGGAUAUAACCUCAAAAUAGCUAUUUUUUCAAUAAAAUUUCAAAUCACCUGAGUGUGUGUUGAUUCUUGGUGUCUAUCAUACACUCAUUCAUGUGGUUGUCUUCGUUGAGGUGAACUUUAGUGGCUAAAAAUAGUGGUUACUGGGUGCUAAGGCUCAGCUGGACAAAGUGCUGUCCCUUCUCACCCACUUUGUGUAGGAAAC
ensembl:lncRNA